rnacentral:rRNA from 1 species
AACGAACGCUGGCGGCGUGCCUAACACAUGCAAGUCGAGCGUGAAAGUCCCUUCGGGGGCGAGUAAAGCGGCAGACGGGUGAGUAAUACAUAGGUAAUCUACCUUCGAGAUUGGGAUAACCCCGCGAAAGUGGGGCUAAUACCGGAUAAGACCACGUGCCUUACGUUGCGCGGUAAAAGGUGGCUUUUUCUUCGGAUGAGGCUAUCACUUGAGGAUGAGCCUAUGGCCUAUCAGCUUGUUGGCGGGGUAAGAGCCCACCAAGGCUAUGACGGGUAGUUGGUCUGAGAGGACGACCAACCAAACUGGAACUGAGACACGGUCCAGACUCCGACGGGAGGCAGCAGGGGGGAAUAUUGGGCAAUGGGCGAAAGCCUGACCCAGCGACGCCGCGUGGGUGAUGAAGGCCUUCGGGUUGUAAAGCCCUGUCAUGCGGAAAGAACAGUCUCAUGGCUAAUAUCCAUGAGAUUUGACGGUACCGCAGGAGGAAGCACCGGCUAACUCCGUGCCAGCAGCCGCCGUAA